rnacentral:rRNA from 1 species
GUGGGGAAUAUUGGACAAUGGGCGAAAGCCUGAUCCAGCCAUGUCGCGUGUGUGAAGAAGGUCUUCGGAUUGUAAAGCACUUUAAGUUGGGAGGAAGGGCAGUAAGUUAAUACCUUGCUGUUUUGACGUUACCGACAGAAUAAGCACCGGCUAACUUCGUGCCAGCAGCCGCGGUAAUACGAAGGGUGCAAGCGUUAAUCGGAAUUACUGGGCGUAAAGCGCGCGUAGGUGGUUUUGUAAGUUGGAGGUGAAAUCCCCGGGCUCAACCUGGGAACUGCCUCCAAAACUGCAUGACUAGAGUACGGUAGAGGGUAGUGGAAUUUCCUGUGUAGCGGUGAAAUGCGUAGAUAUAGGAAGGAACACCAGUGGCGAAGGCGACUACCUGGACUGAUACUGACACUGAGGUGCGAAAGCGUGGGGAGCAAACAGGAUUAGAAACCCCAGUAGUCC